GGCCUCCAUCUUGAAAACGGAAAAUAAAAACAGCAGACCUAUGAAGGUCAAAGGGGAAGUUAAGAAAAGCUGUAUCGAUUGUUGAGAUCUGGCGACUUGCUUAAAUUUCAUCAGCCUCACUUCUAUGGACUCUCAGGACAAACUGCAAUAGAGUCGCAUCCAGUUGAGACUUCUCCAAGGGCCGUGGGGUUGACAUCUGUGGUCUCAGGCCUCACGUGUACCAGCUCUCUGCUCUCCUUUGCCUUGGGACGUUCCAUCCCUGGAAGUUUCCCUGCCCACAUCUUUGUAGAGAGUCCAUUCUCCAAGCUUCAGUGUGUCAUCUGUUAGGACUAUGACCCACCUGGUACAUUACCUCAGGGCAUUCAUUUCAGGCUCCUUCUAAGUGGUCAAGGUAAACCUCAGGUUCUCCUCCUGCCUUUUGCUAAGUAUAUGUCUUGAUGACAAGCCUUCUGCUAAUGAGCUGUGUUUCUGGACCGAUCAUGGUAGAAGUCAAUUGAAGUGUCCCUCACUUGGGGUUUCUUAAGGCUGCACUGAUGAGGAAACUGAAACAGAAAAUCCAGAGUAAAUUCCACCAGGCCACACAGCAAGGUCUGAUAGAGCCAGGAGAGACUUUAUGAAAUCCAGACUCUCACACUAAUGCUCUAUCAGCUAGACCUCCAUGUGAGUCUCCCCAAUGUAGGUAGGAAGCACUUU
rnacentral:lncRNA from 1 species